CCUACGGGUGGCAGCAGUGGGGGAUAUUGGACAAUGGGCGAAAGCCUGAUCCAGCCAUGCCGCGUGUGUGAAGAAGGCCUUCGGGUUGUAAAGCACUUUCAGUGGGGAAGAAAGCCUUGGGGCUAAUACCCUCGAGGAAGGACAUCACCCACAGAAGAAGCACCGGCUAACUCCGUGCCAGCAGCCGCGGUAAUACGGAGGGUGCGAGCGUUAAUCGGAAUUACUGGGCGUAAAGCGCGCGUAGGCGGUCUGAUAAGCCGGUUGUGAAAGCCCCGGGCUCAACCUGGGAACGGCAUCCGGAACUGUCAGGCUAGAGUGCAGGAGAGGAAGGUAGAAUUCCCGGUGUAGCGGUGAAAUGCGUAGAGAUCGGGAGGAAUACCAGUGGCGAAGGCGGCCUUCUGGACUGACACUGACGCUGAGGUGCGAAAGCGUGGGUAGCAAACAGGAUUAGAUACCCUAGUAGUC
rnacentral:rRNA from 1 species